ensembl:lncRNA
GGUGUCAUCACAGAGCCACAGUGUGAACCUUCAGGUGCCAUCACAAACCCACUAAGAGACCUUUCAGGUGACAUCACAGAGCCACAUUGAGGCACUUCAGGUGACUUCACAGACCACAGAGAGACACUUCAGGUGUCAUCACAGAGCCACAGAGAGACACUACAGUUGACAUUAAUGAGCCACAGAGAGAUGCUUCAAGUGACAUCACAGAGCCACAGUGAGACAAUUCAGGAGACACCACAGAGCAACAGAGUUACCCUUCAAGUGACAUCACAGAGCCAGAAAUUGACACUUUUUGUGACAUCACAGAACCAGAGAGAGAUCCUUUGGUGAUAUCACAGAGCAACACAGACCGCUUCUGCUGAAAUUACAGAGCCACAGAUACACCAUUCAGGUUACAUCACAAAGCCAUUAAGAGACCGUUCAGGUGGCAUCACAGAGCCACAGAGAGACCCUUCAGUUGACUUCACAGAGCCACAGAGAGACACUUCAGGUGUCUUCACACAGCCACAGAGACACUUCAGAUGACAUCACAGAGACACAGAGAGACCCUUCUGGUGUCACCACAAACAUGCAGAGAACCCUUCAGGGGACAUCACAGAACAACAGAGAUAACAUUCAGAUGACAUCCCAAAGCCUCCAAAAGACCCUUCAGGUGAAUUCACAGAACAAGAGAGUGACCGUUCUGGUGACAUCACUUAGCGACAGAGAGAUGCUUCAGGUGACAUCACAGAGUCACAGAGACACUUCAGGUGUCAUCACAGAGCCACAGAGAGAUGCUUCAGGUGAGAUCACAGAUCAACACAGAGACACUUCAGGUGUCAUCACAGAGCCACAGAGAGACACUUAAGGUGACAACACAGAGCCACAAGAGACACUUCAGGUAACAUCACAGAGCAACACAGAGACACUUCAUUUGUCAUUACAGAGCCACAGAGAGACCCUUCAGGUGACAACACAGAGCCACAUAGAAACACUUCAGGUGGCUUCACAGAGCCACAGAGAGACGCUUCAGGUGUCAUCACAGAGCCACAGAGAGACACUACAGGUGAUAUCACAGAGCCAAAUAGAGAACCUUCAGGUGACAUCACAGAGACACAGAGACAUCAUUCUGUUGACAUCACAAAGCCACCAAGAGACCAUUCAGGUGACAUCACAGAACCAUAGAGAGACC